rnacentral:rRNA from 1 species
UACGGGGGGGGCAAGCGUUGUUCGGAAUUACUGGGCGUAAAGGGCUCGUAGGCGGCCAACUAAGUCCGACGUGAAAUCCCCAGGCUUAACCUGGGAACUGCGUCGGAUACUGGAUGGCUUGAAUUCGGGAGAGGGAUGCAGAAUUCCAGGUGUAGCGGUGAAAUGCGUAGAUAUCUGGAGGAAUACCGGUGGCGAAGGCGGCGUUCUGGACUGUUACUGACACUGAGGAACGAAAGCCAGGGGAGCAAACGGG